rnacentral:rRNA from 1 species
UACGUAGGGAGCAAGCGUUUGUCCGGAAUCAUUGGGCGUAAAGCGCGCGUAGGUGGUCCCGUAAGUCCGCUGUGAAAGUCAAAGGCUCAACCUUUGAAAGCCGGUGGAUACUGUGGGACUAGAGUACGGAAGAGGCGAGUGGAAUUCCUGGUGUAGCGGUGGAAUGCGCAGAUAUCAGGAGGAACACCAAUAGCGAAGGCAGCUCGCUGGGACGUUACUGACACUGAGGCGCGAAAGCGUGGGGAGCGAACAGG